rnacentral:sRNA from 1 species
AUUUGCACUCAUCGGGGAAGGGUGAGAACCUUCGACUAAGGUUCGAUUCGAGCGAAAGCGAGAGAACGUUGCCACAGGCAACGGCCCGAAGGGUGAGGAGCGAAGCGACGAAUAAUCCUUCCCCCACCACCA